ACUCCUACGGGAGGCAGCGGUGAGGAAUAUUGGACAAUGGGCGCAAGCCUGAUCCAGCCAUGCCGCGUGCGGGAUGACGGUCCUAUGGAUUGUAAACUGCUUUUGUACAGGAAGAAACACCUCUACGUGUAGAGACUUGACGGUACUGUAAGAAUAAGGAUCGGCUAACUCCGUGCCAGCAGCCGCGGUAAUAC
rnacentral:rRNA from 1 species